rfam:Schistosoma haematobium scaffold65_3, whole genome shotgun sequence.
AUCCAACUGACGAGUCCCAAAUAGGACAAAAUACGUGUCCUGGAU